rnacentral:rRNA from 1 species
GAUGAACGCUGGCGGCGUGCCUAAUACAUGCAAGUCGAGCGAACAGACGAGGAGCUUGCUCCUCUGACGUUAGCGGCGGACGGGUGAGUAACACGUGGAUCACCCACCUAUAAGACUGGGAUAACUUCGGGAAACCGGAGCUAAUAGCGGAUAAUAUAUUGAUCCGCAUGGUUCAUUAGUGAAUGACGGUUUUGCUGUAACUUCUAGAUGCAUACGAGCCGCAUUAGCUAGUUGGUAAGGUAAAGGCUUACCAAGGCUACGAUGCGUAGCCGACCUGCGAGAGUGAUCGGCCACACUAGAGCUGAGACACGGUCCAGGCGCCUACGAUAGGCAGCAGUAGGGAAUCGUCCGCAGUGGGCGGAAGCCUGACGGAGCGGCGCCACGUGAGUGAUGAAAGUCUUCGGAUCGGAAUACUCUGUUAUGAGGGAAGAACAAAUUUGUAAGUAACUAUGCACGGCUUGACGGUACCUGGUCAGAAAGCCACGGCUAACUACGUG